rnacentral:lncRNA from 1 species
GAAGAUCUUAAUUAAUUCAUAGCUGAAUGAGAUAUUUGUCUUCUUUAAAUCUUACCUUCUUUUUAACACUAAAAGAUACUUGUAUUAAACAACCAACAUUACACAUGGAGGAAUACAUCAUCGGAUAAACCAAAGCCGGACUAAAUCCAGAAUUUACGCCGGCAGAACAACAAGUUCUCCGGAACCAAAGCCCAAACAGGGGAAGCAUAUUAACACCAACUUGAACUACAAACAUGAUGAUAAUGAAGGUGAAACCAAAAAUAAGAUUAAGAGCCAGCAACAUAGGCGAAGAGUAAGAAAUGCUUCUAAGUAACAUAACGCAAAUACUCCAAGCGGUUCUUUGAAGAAGAGACGACAAACCAGGCACCUCCCAUAGUGAAUAAGCGCAUGCAAAUAGAAACUGAGAACCUAAGCUUCAAGACCGGAGAACCAGAACGCUUCGUUCUAUACCGUUCAAACCGGAUACAGCGCAGUCGAGACUACAACGAGAACACGACUAGGAAACGCCAAUAGAGAAGCAGUGAAGGAUGAGGACUCGAUCAUACCUCUGGAGUGAAGACAGGGAGCGAAACCGCAACACUUUCACCAAAGUCAGACUUGAUAAACAAGCCAGAGCUAGGAUCGAGACGAAGAGAAGCCAAAGACACCAACAGUAGAGAUAAAGCGCAUGCAACUUAGAAAACACAUCAUCAAGCCGUUGAUCUUGCGAAUCCGGGGCUCCAAUCUGGAAACAAGCUAAAUCUAAACAGAUCUGAAGCUUUAGCUUAACACCUCCAAAAUCAAACAUGCAAGCAAACCGAAGGAACAUCACAUAGAAAAUAAAGACUAAACCCGACUCCAGCCCUGUGGAAGCGGCCGGAGUCGGCCAGAGUCGGUGAGCGACGAAGAACAGAUGAAAAAGUUUUUUUUAGAUAAAAGAUGGAGAGUCUAGAGAGAGAACUAAAAAAAAGUUCUUUAAAUCUUACCUUAUUAAAGCUAUAUUUAAAGGUAUAUAGUUGGUAAU